UCUUAAUUGGACACACUCUCUUUCUUUAACGGCAUUGAAGACGGGCAUUGAACACUUGUCUAAGAUUUGAGAUUUUCAGUGCCCUUCUUCUCUUUCUUCUUCUUCAUUGCCUCCCAGUCUCACUCACGUUAACUACAGUCUUUUUAGUAUUAGACCAGCUGAGCAGGAACAGAACAAGUAGCAGAGGUGUAGAUACUUAAUUUCAGCAGUUUAACUUCGUUCUUUUGCAGCUGUGGUUCUUGUGGAUAUCAAUUAAACUUGAACUCGUGCAACCGGAACACUCCAGUUAUUGGAGCUAAUUAUAAGAAAUCCAUAAAGAAAAAAACUAUUUCGUUCUUCAGCAUUGAUGAAACCAGGUUCACUCAAAUUGAAGAAAUUCGAUGCGCACCUUACUUCACUUCCAUGCAUUCCUGGGGUUGUUCCAGCGAAGAACCAAGCUUCUUUGUUACAAAUGCGGAAAUCAUAUUGGAAAUGCUUACAAAGAGAAUCUCUUCCUCCCCUCUCAGAUUGGGUAAAUGUCCAUCAGAUUUAAUCACGUGGGAUGGGAUAUCUGAUGCCAGAAUUUAUGUUAUCAAGAUACGUUCGUUACAACCUGCUUCGACCGAGGACUUCAGCAUGAGCAGUAUCUGAUCCAUGCUUCCAUGUUGAAAAAGAGUAGUGGUGAAGUAUAAGUUUCAUCUUGCAUUAUUGAAGCAACAGAAUAUCCUGCAUGAUUUGUUUGAGGUUUUGAUGUGUCAAUUCGAUGAACAUCAUAAAAAAUGUGGAGUGGACAGGAGUGAUGUAAAGCGAAGUCGCAGCAAUAGUACAAGAACGGAAGUUUUGCAGCACUCGGUGAAGCUUUGAUUGGGAACUCCUGUAAUUCUUGCUCUUUCCAUCGGACGUUGAAUAUUUCGUUAGUCUUAAGAACAGUUUGUGUAUUCUAGAAUUUGGGGUUUAGUAGCAAUCAUGUCGCUUAUCAAGCAUUUUUGUUGUUGCUUUAAAGUUCACGCAGACCAGUGUGAUGUAAAACAAGUUUUGAACAGAGAAAUACAAAGGUUUCAGCAGUCACAGAGUCUGAUUGCCUUCUUCGUAAA